rnacentral:rRNA from 1 species
AAUUUUUCUCAAUGGGGGAAACCCUGAAGGAGCGACGCCGCGUGGAGGAUGAAGGUUUUCGGAUUGUAAACUCCUGUCAUUGGGGAACAAUUCCACGAGUAGUAACUGACUUGUGGUUGAUAGUACCCGAAGAGGAAGGGACGGCUAACUCUGUGCCAGCAGCCGCGGUAAUACAGAGGUCCCAAGCGUUGUUCGGAUUCAUUGGGCGUAAAGGGUGCGUAGGCGGUGAGGUAAGUUGGAUGUGAAAUCCCGGGGCUCAACCCCGGAACUGCAUUCAAUACUGCUUUGCUAGAGUACUGGAGAGGAGAUUGGAAUUCACGGUGUAGCAGUGAAAUGCGUAGAUAUCGUGAGGAAGACCAGUGGCGAAGGCGAAUCUCUGGACAGUUACUGACGCUGAGGCACGAAGGCUAGGGGAGCAAACGGG